rnacentral:rRNA from 1 species
UACGUAGGGUGCGAGCGUUGUCCGGAAUUACUGGGCGUAAAGAGCUCGUAGGUGGUUUGUCGCGUUGUUCGUGAAAACUCACAGCUUAACUGUGGGCUUGCGGUCGAUACGGGCAUCACUGGAGUUCGGCAGGGGAGACUGGAAUUCCCGGUGUAGUGGUGAUAUGCGUAGAUAUCGGGAGGAACACCAGUGGCGAAGGCGGCUUUCUGGGCAUUUCCUGACGCUGAGACGCGAAAGCGUGGGGAGCGAACCGG